rnacentral:rRNA from 1 species
ACUGUUAGACUUGAAUUAUUAGGAAGUAACUAGAAUAUGUAGGGUAGCGGUGAAAUGCUUAGAGAUUACAUGGAAUACCAAUUGCGAAGGCAGGUUACUACUAAUUGAUUGACGCUGAUGGACGAAAGCGUGGGUAGCGAACAGGAUUAGAUACCCUGGUAGUCCACGCCGUAAACGAUGGAUACUAGCUGUUGGAAGCAAUUUCAGUGGCUAAGCGAAAGUGAUAAGUAUCCCACCUGGGGAGUACGUUCGCAAGAAUGAAACUCAAAGGAAUUGACGGGGGCCCGCACAAGCGGUGGAGCAUGUGGUUUAAUUCGAUGAUACGCGAGGAACCUUACCAAGGCUUAAAUGUAGAUUGACCGGUUUGGAAACAGAUCUUUCGCAAGACAAUUUACAAGGUGCUGCAUGGUUGUCGUCAGCUCGUGCCGUGAGGUGUCAGGUUAAGUCCUAUAACGAGCGCAACCCCUGUUGUUAGUUGCCAGCGAGUCAAGUCGGGAACUCUAACAAGACUGCCAGUGCAAACUGUGAGGAAGGUGGGGAUGACGUCAAAUCAUCACGGCCCUUACGCCUUGGGCUACACACGUGCUACAAUGGCCGGUACAGAGAGCAGCCACUGGGCGACCAGGAGCGAAUCUAUAAAACCGGUCACAGUUCGGAUCGGAGUCUGCAACUCGACUCC